rnacentral:snoRNA from 1 species
UUGGCAGCGAUGAUUAUAAAAAUUCCUCGUUCUGAAUGCUAAUGCCAUUGCAUGACAGACACGUUUACACCCAUAGAAUAUGAGCACU